AGUUAGAUAAAAUGCAUAUUCAGAUUCAGUAAUUUUGGGUGGAGCCUGAGAUUCCACUUUUCUAACAAUUUAGCAGGGGAUGCUGGUGCUGCUGGCCAACAGAGCGUAUUUUCAAUAACAAGGUCUAAAGUACCUCACAACUCCAAAUCACUGACUUUCUAGAAAAGUGUUUUGUUUGCCAGGGGCGGUGGUGGCUUAUGCCUAUAAUCCUAGCACUUUGGGAGGCCAAGCAGGUGGAUCACCUGAGGUCAGGAGUUCGAGACCAGCCUGACCAACAUGGAGAAACCCCGUCUCUACUAACAAUACAAAAAUUAGCCGGGCAUGGUGGCGGGUGCCUGUAAUCCCAGCUACUCAAGAAGGCUGAGGCAGACGAAUGGCUUGAACCCAGGAGGCGGAGGUUGCGCCAUUGCACUCCAACCUGGGCAACAAGAGCCAAACUCCAUCUUAAAAAAAAAAAAGAGAAAAGCACUUUGUUUAUCAAAAAUUUUUAUGUAUUCAUUUGUUGAGACCUUAUAAUUUAUCCAGCAACAUCCUAGGCAGUGGAAAUCCAGCAGUUACUAGACAGAAAAUGUCUCUGCCCACCCAAGUAUCAGGCUAUCCAACUAAAGCAAGGAUUCCAGCAGCCUAGCAUCAGCUUUUUGUGCUUCCACUCUAGCUUGGUGACUGUGACCAUGGUUGGGAUCCUGAUACCUUCCUUCUAGCAUUAACUUUGUAUUUUAUUUUUUCCCUGAAGAGUAUGAUUUGGGGAAUCAUAUGUUGUUUCUAGAUGCAUUUGUUUGCUAAAAUAGCAGGCAUGGUGUUGGGGGAGGAAGGAAAACCAAUAUACAAGUCAUGAAAAUACAAAGUAUUUGUUAUUUUAAAACCACAGCAACUAUAAUGGAAUUUAAAAGUAAAUUAUUUCGUGUCCAUGAACUAAUCCCCCAAAGAUGAUCACAGUUUUAAAGUAGGUCAGACUCUGAGACUAUGUGUUUCUAGACUGUAUCUAUAAUAAGUAAAACUCUCAUGUUUUCAUUGCUCUUGCAUUCAAAUAGUUUGAAUGCAAAUUUUAUUAUUUUUGAAUUCAAAUUUUAAUUUGUCUUCAAAAGCAUUCUACUGUUGGGAGCUUGAGGAACAUGUUAACCCUGCCUUUUGUGUUUCUCCUGAAUGUCAGACUAGUAAAGCCAGUGUAUUUAAAACUGGAAUUUUCUUUCUUUUAAUGUGUGGUUAGUUCUAAGGGGUGACAAAAGAGAAAAGCAGUCCUUGACACCUGGAAGCUGGCCCGGUACUAUCAGCUGGGCCUUGGUGUUCUCCUGUCGAACACAACACUUUCACAGAAAAACAACAUCAGAGAAGGCCACUCAGUGACCCUGAUGGAUCCAGACAAAACAAGACCACUCUGUAAUCAUGUCUGAACACGAAGCAUGAACAUUGUCCAAAUCACAAAAAUGACCAAACAUCCCACAUUCUAGCUAAUGUGAGUGACUUCUGCUUCUUUGACACUUCCAACUUUAGCCUUGGUCUAUUCUCUUCUCCUUCUAGACAAGAUUUACAAAUUAACUUAAUCAUAGAAUUCUCCUGGCACGUACUAGCCACUCACGAUAGAAUUGUGGUAUAAAAUUCCAAAUUCUUGAUUUCAUACACUCCUUUCUCUCACCACUAUCUUCUGUUCUAGCUGAUCUGCCUUAUCUCACAUGCACUGAUCUUAUUGAAAGCAAAGCCUGGCUUUUCGUCUUCUCCAGGCCUGGCCUCAGCAGCUGAACAUUGCUGCAGAAAAAUCACAACACUUUAGGUUCAUGAACUUGGGCAGUAUCAGACUGCUCACACGUAUUGUGGGGCUUGUAGGACAGAUGAUGCAGGAUAUUUUCCUGGUGGUAAUGUUGAGCAGUGUUAAAAUCCGGGGAAGGGAAGAGAAGUUUGAGAUGGAACUGAAGGUGUGAUGGAGAAAGCAAAACUUCCAGUAUUCUGUUAGGCAAACAUGACAGCCUGGGGCUGGCGGCAGAGGAAGGCCAGGUAAGUUGACACUACUGCUGUUUGUGUAGAAGUGGCUGGAAACACCAGGGGCUGAAACCUUUGCAGAAAACCCUUUUAUUUUCUGAAAUGAUCACUCAGUUCACACAAUUCCAGUGUUCCCAUUGCAAUGUUUAGCUCUCACUUAAAAGUGUACCCAAUAUUUAGCUCUCACUUAUAAGUGAGAAUAUCCAGUAUUUGCUUUUCUGUUCCUGCAUUAAUUUGCUUAGGCCUAGUUGAGAAGAGAGCUCAGUGGAGCUCAGCUAAAGUUUGGUCAAGGAGGGAGUCUUUAUCAGAGCUAAGAAAGAGUUUAAGAGGGAAACGCGCUCGGGUCCCCUUCCACGCUGUGGAAGCUUGGUCCUUUCGCUCUUCACAAUAAAUCUUGCUGCUGCUAAAAAAAAAAAAGAAAAAAAA
ensembl:lncRNA